GGCCAUAAUGUUGAAGUACUGGUUCCCAUAUGAUCACUGAAGUUAAGCAACAUCGAACAUAGUCAGUAGCUAGAUGGGUGACUGCUUGAGAAUACCAAGUGCUGUAAG